rnacentral:rRNA from 1 species
GCCUCAGUAACGGCGAGUGAAGCGGCAACAGCUCAAAUUUGAAAGCCCGCGGGCGUUGUAAUUUGCAGGCGGAUGUUUUGGGGCGGGCGCUGUCUACGUUCCUUGGAACAGGACGCCGCAGAGGGUGAGAGCCCCGUGCGAUGGCGCCUCUAACCGCGUAAAACUCCGCCGACGAGUCGAGUUGUUUGGGAAUGCAGCUCCAAGUGGGUGGUAAAUUCCAUCUAAAGCUAAAUACUGGCGAGAGACCGAUAGCGAACAAGUACAGUGAUGGAAAGAUGAAAAGCACUUUGAAAAGAGAGUGAAACAGCACGUGAAAUUGUUGAAAGGGAAGGGUAUGCGAUUAGCGGCCAGCAGGAGGUGCCUUCUCGUGAAAAGGCCGUGCACCGUCUUCGGACACCGUGCGCGGAGAUGGCGAGGGGGCGCCUGAGGUCUGCGAACUCGAGGUUGCUGGCGUAAUGAUUGCAUACCACCCGUCU